rnacentral:rRNA from 1 species
GGGAAACUGCGUACGGCUCAUUACACCAGCCUUAAUUUACUUGACCUUGACAACCUACUUGGAUAACUGUGGUAAUUCUAGAGCUAAUACAUGCACCAAAGCUCCGAUCCUCGCGGAGAGGAGCGCAUUUGUUCGCCACAAAACCAAGCGCCCAUCUGGGCGUCCAGUGCUGAACCAGAACAACUCAGCUGAUCGCACGGUCUUGUACCGGCGACGUGUCUUUCAAGUGUCUGCCUUAUCAACUUUCGAUGGUAGUGUACCUGACUACCAUGGUUGUGACGGGUAACGGAGGAUAAGGGUUCGACUCCGGAGAAGGGGCCUGAGAAAUGGCCACUACGUCUAAGGAUGGCAGCAGGCGCGCAAAUUACCCACUCUCAACGCGAGGAGGUAGUGACGAGAAAUAACGAGACCGUUCUCAUACGAGGCCGGUUAUUGGAAUGGGUACAAUUUAAACCCUUUAACGAGUAUCUAUGAGAGGGCAAGUCUGGUGCCAGCAGCCGCGGUAAUUCCAGCUC